CUUGAGAGACCCCAGCAUCAGGGGUCGGUCGUUGUCGCGUGCGCUGCCGUAGGUGGCCAGAAGGGCCUGUGCCUC
rnacentral:antisense_RNA from 1 species